AAUAUCAAAAAUGCAUUUUGAUGCCUUAGAAGUUUAUUUUUGGAGUAUUUUCCUUUAAAUAUGAUUGUAUUAAUAUAUUUUGAGAGUGAUUUUCAGAAGACUCAUAAGUUGAUAAUUUGUGACUCAAAAUAGAUCAUACAAGAAAAGUUUAAUGUACACUAUUUCACUCUGUAUAUUAGAAAACAUAGUUGGGCACUGACACAGACCCAAGGCAGCAAGAAGCUAACCAGGCACCAUGCGAGAGAUCGUGCACAUUCAGGCAGACCAGUGCGGCAACCAGAUCGGUGCCAAGUUUUGGGAGGUCAUCAGUGAUGAGCAUGGUAUAGACCCCACUGGAAGUUACCAUGGAGACAGUGAUUUGCAACUGGAAAGAAUCAAUGUAUACUACAAUGAAGCAAUUGGUAAUAAAUAUGUGCCUAGGGCCAUCCUGGUGGACCUGGAGCCAGGCACAAUGGACUCAGUCAGGUCUGGAUCAUUUGGGCAGAUCUUCAGGCCAGACAACUUCGUGUUCGGCCAGAGUGGUGCAGGAAAUAACUGGGCAAAGGGCCACUACACAGAUGGUGCCAAGCUGGUGGACUCUGUCCUGGACGUGGUGAGGAACGAGUCAGAAAGCUGUGACUGUCUUCAGUGUUUCCAGCUGACCCACUCACUGGGGGGGAGGCACUGACUCAGGCAUGGGGACCCUGCUCAUCAGCAAGAUCAGA